rnacentral:rRNA from 1 species
UACAGAGGGUGCGAGCGUUAAUCGGAAUUACUGGGCGUAAAGCGUACGUAGGCGGUCCAGCAAGUCGGGUGUGAAAGCCCUUGGCUUAACCAAGGAAGUGCAUUCGAAACUACUGGACUUGAAUACUGGAGAGGAUCGCGGAAUUCCCGGUGUAGAGGUGAAAUUCGUAGAUAUCGGGAGGAACACCAGUGGCGAAGGCGGCGAUCUGGACAGAUAUUGACGCUGAUGUACGAAAGCGUGGGGAGCAAACAGG